rfam:Schistosoma haematobium scaffold388_4, whole genome shotgun sequence.
AUCCAGCUGAUGAGUCCAAAUAAAACGAAAUGCGCGUCCUAAAU